AUGAAACGAAACUUUGCGAGGAUUUUUUAUAUCAAUAAAGAGAAUUUCUGUAGCCAAGAACCACCAGAGGGGGCACCUGGGUGGGCACAACCCACCAGGGUGCGCCACACCCUCCAGGCGCGCCCAGGUGGGUUGUCACCACCUGGUGGACCCGCAGACCCUGAAACCGAUGCUAUAAAAUCCUAUUUUUCCAGAAAAAAUCAGGGAGAAAGAAUUGUCGCGUUUCACGAGACGGAGCCGCCGCCACCUCCUGUUCUUCAUCGGGAGGCCAGAUCUGGAGCCCGUUUGGGGCUCCGGAGAGGGGGGUCUUUGAUCUUCGUCAUCACCAACCCUUCUCCAUCGCCAAUUCCAUGA
rnacentral:rRNA from 1 species